GAUGAACGCUGGCGGCGUGCCUAAUACAUGCAAGUCGAGCGAACAGAUAAGGAGCUUGCUCCUUUGACGUUAGCGGCGGACGCGUGAGUUACACGUGGAUAACCUACCUAUAAGACUGGGAUAACUUCGGGAAACCGGAGCUAAUACCGGAUAACAUAUUGAACCGCAUGGUUCAAUAGUGAAAGGCGGCUUUGCUGUCACUUAUAGAUGGAUCCGCGCCGUAUUAGCUAGUUGGUAAGGUAACGGCUUACCAAGGCAACGAUACGUAGCCGACCUGAGAGGGUGAUCGGCCACACUGGAGCGGAGACACGGUCCAGACUACUACGGGAGGCAGCAGUAGGGAAUCUGCCGCAAUAGGCGAAAGCCUGACGGAGCAACGCCGCGUGAGUGAUGAAGGUCUUCGGAGCGUAAAACUCUGUUAUCAGGGAAGAACAAAUGUGUAAGGAACUGUGCACAUCUUGACGGUACCUGAUCAGAAAGCCACGGCUAACUACGUG
rnacentral:rRNA from 1 species